GUAGAAUUGGUGACAUCCGAUAAAAUUGGAACGAUAUGGCGAAGAUUAGCAUGGCCCCUACGCAAGUAUGACAUGUACAAAUUGAGAAAUGGUAUCAAAGUUU